AGGGCCGUCACUAAAAUGGAAACAAACGAUUGGCUUCUAUUCGAAACCAAUCAACCAUUUUCUUACGCGUCAAUCAGGUUGAGGACAACACGCUUGACCGUACCGAAUUUAAAAUAUUUUCGUAGCAAUUUUCCUCAAUGUUUCAACAGAAUACAAUCCGGGUUACGAAUCGUAUAUUUUGGCAUACAAGUUAUACUUUGUCGAGAUCAUGGACUCAGUUAUCAAGGACAAGACUACUGCACGUACAACCGCUUGCAUCAGGGACCAGUCAAUGGUCCUCUUCACAGUCAAGACACAGCAGUGGUCCGACUUUGCCAGUUGCUUUCAGGCAGUAUCGAAGAGACGUACCUCUACAUAACCAAUUCUCUACCACAACACACGUCUGCAGCGAUUCUAUUGGGAAGAUUCAUUCGACGCAUUACCACUUGGUUUACACAUGCAAGGUGUGCUCAACCAGGUCAACGAAGAGGAUAUCCAAGGUAGCCUAUCAUAAAGGUGUUGUCCUAGUGACCUGCCCAGGAUGUGAAAAACACCACAUUAUUGCUGACAACUUGGGUUGGUUCUCUGAUCUGAAGGGAAAGAAGUUGUUAGCCAAGUUAAUAUAGGAACAUUGAGGAAAUCCUUGCAGCGAAAGGGGAGAAAGUGAAGAGGGUAGAAGAAGAGGCGGCCUUCGAGAUUGUUGUAGAUGAGUCCGGCAAGGAUACAACACAGACUGCUCAAGAUGCAAAGAAACCUUCACCAGAGUCUGAUGACUCAGGGAAAUCAUGACGAACUCUCUGUGGGUGUGGGGGUGUGUGUGCACAACAAGGACAUUGUUCUCUAUGAGGGGAAAAAUUGCUAUUAAGUAAAUGUAACACUUCUUUUGAUA